UCAAAGACCCUAGGUUUCCAUGUCCAACUUUGACUGUCCGUCUUAUAUGAAAUUUUUUAAUAAUUCGUAUUUUCAUUGUUGUUAGAUGAUAAAACAUGAUUAAUAUUUUAUGCGUGACUUGUCUUUUUAAAUUUUUUUCAUAAUUUUUUCAAAUAAGAAGGACGGUCAAACGUUGGGCACGGAAAUCAGGGUUUGUCUUUUU
rnacentral:pre_miRNA from 1 species